ensembl:snRNA U6 U6 spliceosomal RNA
AUGCUCGCUUUGGCAGCACAUAUACUAAAAUUGGAACAAUAUAGAGAAGAUUAGCAUGGCCCCUGCACAAGGAUGACAUGCAAAUUCAUGAAGCGUUCCAUAUUUCU